rnacentral:rRNA from 1 species
GGAGGAAAGCAGGGGAUCGAAAGACCUUGCGCUUUUGGAGCGGCCGAUGUCUGAUUAGCUAGUUGGUAGGGUAAUGGCCUACCAAGGCAACGAUCAGUAGUUGGUCUGAGAGGACGACCAGCCACACUGGGACUGAGACACGGCCCAGACUCCUACGGGAGGCAGCAGUGGGGAAUUUUGGACAAUGGGCGCAAGCCUGAUCCAGCAAUGCCGCGUGAGUGAAGAAGGCCUUCGGGUUGUAAAGCUCUUUCAGUUGAGAAGAAAAGAUUGUGACUAAUAAUCAUAAUUCAUGACGGUAUCAACAGAAGAAGCACCGGCUAACUACGUGCCAGCAGCCGCGGUAAUACGUAGGGUGCAAGCGUUAAUCGGAAUUACUGGGCGUAAAGGGUGCGCAGGCGGUUCUGUAAGUCAGAUGUGAAAUCCCC